AUGCCUGAAAGAGGGAUCCGACAAGGAGACCCUCUUUCACCUUACUUGUUUAUUUUGUGUCUUGAUGUCUUAUCAGAUCUUGUGAAGAAAGAUAGAGAGGAAAACAAAUUGCGUGGACUGAAAGUGGCCAAGGGAGCUCCUAAAAUCUCCCAUCUACUGUUGGCAGAUGAUUGUCUUUUGUUUGCUCGAACUAAUGCUACAGAAGCUGACCAACUUCUGAAUACCCCUUGA